rnacentral:rRNA from 1 species
GACGAACGCUGGCGGCGUGCCUAAUACAUGCAAGUCGAACGCAUUUUCUUUCACCGUAGCUUGCUACACCGAAAGAAAAUGAGUGGCGAACGGGUGAGUAACACGUGGGUAACCUGCCCAUCAGCGGGGGAUAACACUUGGAAACAGGUGCUAAUACCGCAUAAUUCCAUUUACCGCAUGGUAAAUGGAUGAAAGGCGCUUUUGCGUCACUGAUGGAUGGACCCGCGGUGCAUUAGCUAGUUGGUGGAGUAACGGCCUACCAAGGCUGCGAUGCAUAGCCGACCUGAGAGGGUGAUCGGCCACACUGGGACUGAGACACGGCCCAGACUCCUACGGGAGGCAGCAGUAGGGAAUCGUCGGCAAUGGACGCAAGUCUGACCGAGCAACGCCGCGUGAGUGAAGAAGGUUUUCGGAUCGUAAAACUCUGUUGUUAGAGAAGAACAAGGAUGAGAGUGGAAAGUUCAUCCCUUGACGGUAUCUAACCAGAAAGCCACGGCUAACUACGUG